UACGGAGGGUGCAAGCGUUAUCCGGAUUUACUGGGUUUAAAGGGUGCGCAGGCGGAUAUGUAAGUCAGUGGUGAAAUCUCUAGGCUUAACCUGGAAAUUGCCGUUGAUACUAUAUAUCUUGAAUGCUGUGGAGGUAAGCGGAAUAUGUCAUGUAGCGGUGAAUGCUUAGAUAUGACAUAGAACACCUAUGCGAAGCAGCUUACUACGCAGAUAUUGACGCUCAUGCACGAAGCGUGGGAUCAAACAGGA
rnacentral:rRNA from 1 species